GCUCCAAUAGCGUAUAUUAAAGUUGUUGCAGUUAAAAAGCUCGUAGUUGGACUUCUGUCGUGCCGGUGCGGUCCACCUCGCGGUGAGCACUGCAUUGGGGCGACAUCCUCUCGGAGUUGUGCGGUGCCAUUAACUUGGUGCUGUACGAACCGAGACCUUUACUUUGAAAAAAUUAGAGUGUUCAAGCAGGCCUACGCUUG
rnacentral:rRNA from 1 species